rnacentral:lncRNA from 1 species
UCCUCACUUGUGGAGGUUGUAUAUUUGAGCAUUAGUCUCUUCAUGAUCGCUUCAUGUUGAAAAGAAAUAAAUAAAUAAGAACAGAUUGAAUCUCAAGGGCGAGGGCUUCAAAGAAUUCCGUUCAAACCCAGUUUCUUUUCACACAAAAAAAGAACCCAGCGAACCCUAAUCCGCGAAAAGUAUUACAACUAAAAUAACUACAAAUUAAAAGACUCCAGAAACCCAACUGUACAGUAAAAAACUAUAUCAAGCAGAAUACAAUCAUGUACACAAUACCAAAACAAAUAUAUGAUCAUCAUGGAUAAAAGCCAGAAGAGAAAAGUAAGAAAAAAUCACCUGGAUGGCGAAGGACAUUCACAAGAAGGAGAGGAGGUGUGACGAUCAGCAAGAAGAGAGGAGGUGUGGCGAUCAGCAAGAAGAGAGGAGGUUGGAAAGCGGGAGAGAAGGGAAGAAACAUUUUUCUUGGAACAAAAAAGGUGACAAAUUGCAAGGAAAAGGAGAACGAAGACAGUGC